AGGGGAUGGCACCCUAUGAAGAUGAAUUAGAUGUCAACUAGAAGAUGACGCCCUAUGAAGAGGAGAUAAGAUAUUAACUAUGGGAUGGCGCCCUAUGAAGACAAAUAAGAUGUCAACUAGGGGAUGACGAUGGCGCCCGAUAAAGAUGAAAUAAAAUAUCCACUAGGGGAUGGUGCUCUAUGAAGACAAAAAAGAUAUAAAGUAGGGGAUGGCGCCUUGUGAAGAUGAAUAAGAUGUCUC
rnacentral:lncRNA from 1 species